GCCAGGCGCGGUGGCGCGUGCCUGUAGUCCCAGCUACUCGGGAGGCUGAGGUGGGAGGAUUGCUUGAGCCCAGGAGUUCUGGGCUGUAGUGCGCUAUGCCGAUCGGGUGUCCGCACUAAGUUCGGCAUCAAUAUGGUGACCUCCCAGGAGCGGGGGACCACCAGGUUGCCUAAGGAGGGGUGAACCAGCCCAGGUCAGAAAUGGAGCAGGUCAAAACUCUUGUGCUGAUUAGUAGUGGGAUUGCACCUGUGAAUAGCCACUGCACUCCAGCCUGGGCAACAUAGCGAGACCCUGUCUCU
rnacentral:SRP_RNA from 1 species